rnacentral:rRNA from 1 species
GAUCCUGGCUCAGGACGAACGCUGGCGGCGUGCCUAACACAUGCAAGUCGAACGGAACUGUUUUGAAAGAUUUCUUCGGAAUGAAUUUGAUUUAGUUUAGUGGCGGACGGGUGAGUAACGCGUGGGUAACCUGCCUUCAAGAGGGGGAUAACAUUCUGAAAAGAAUGCUAAUACCGCAUGAUAUAUCGGAACCACAUGGUUCUGAUAUCAAAGAUUUUAUCGCUUGAAGAUGGACUCGCGUCCGAUUAG